ACUUGGAUGAGGAAAAGCGAACAGCUGAACUUUAGUCUUUGAACUAAGAAAUAAGGACUUUCCAAGACGAGACUCGUUGCCUUAUCUCGAAUUUGAAAUUACGUUUUAAAACCCCGUGAGUUGGAUGGGCACUGAAUCGUCGACAUGCAAUAUUACCUAGCCUGCCCUUCUAUAAUUGCCAAUGCCUUCCUCUUCCUUCAGCGUCAUCUGGGGUUUAAUGGAGCAUAUGAAGAAACAUUUCCUGCCCGUUAGGUAGGGCGCGUGCAGUGGUUAAGUCACGGAAGGUUGGCAUGCAUCCCUUUAAUUACUACAGCCAUACGUUCAGAAAGUCCUGGAUUAGCCGCUUGUGUUGUAUUUCAUAAGUUUUUCAUUGAAUGUAAAAAUGAGUCUUUAUCAUUGUAAUGUCCGUUCCGCUUUAGGAUGACUUAUAAUUUUGUUUCUUGAAUUUGAGCUGAUAUAAUGAUGUCAUCUGAGCGACGUGGUAAAGUUUUCAUUGUAAUCUUUAUGUUUCAGUGUAAUUCUGCACGUCUUGUUUGUAUGUAGCAUCCCAUUUUCAUGACUAAAUACAGAUUCAUUCUUAA